rnacentral:rRNA from 1 species
GACCGAGGGGGCAAGCGUUGCUCGGAAUUACUGGGCGUAAAGGGCGCGUAGGCGGGAUGGCAAGUCGGUCGUGAAAUCCCUCGGCUCAACUGAGGUACGUCGAUCGAUACUGCCGUUCUUGAGGGUUGCAGAGGAGACUGGAAUUCCCGGUGUAGCGGUGAAAUGUGUAGAGAUCGGGAGGAACACCGGUGGCGAAGGCGGGUCUCUGGGCAACUCCUGACGCUGAGGCGCGAAAGCGUGGGGAGCAAACGGG